UCCCUGGCAGUCCACUGGUUACGACUUUGUGCUGCCAAUGCAGGGGGCAUGGGUUUGAUCCCUUCUGGGGAA
rnacentral:tRNA from 1 species